CUUUAAAAACUUGGCAGGUGGGACGUAAAAAGUUGUUGGGACAGCUUCCUUGCUUCCUUUCUGUUCUGGACUUCUUGCCCUGCUUCUGAACCCCCAGACCAGGACUCCUGAGCCUUGUGCCUGAGGGAAGAACUCUCUCUUAAUUACAAGUAGGAGCUUCUGCUUGAGUGCUUCGGAGUGGAAGCCGGGACCAUUUCAUUGACUUAGGCGGAAUCAUCUUGCCAAACUUCGCCUGCCUGCCUGAUGCAGGAUAAGCAACGACAGGUUCCUGGGCAGAUUGCUGCCCAGCCUCCGCUUUGCCAAGGACUUAUUCAUAUGCCCGCCAGCUUUCACCGAUUUUGGUCAUGGUUAGUCUGUUAGGUGCCACAAGACUCUUGGUUCCUUUUGCCACAACAAACUUAACUUGGCUUCUCUGUUGGAAAUUGUGCCAUACUAAUUUUACAUGGCGACAAGAACUGAUGUUUCUGUGCCAGAGAAACAGAUAGAGCUAAGAAUGCAAGAGCUGCUUUGCAGGAUCUGGCUAAAAUCCACCCACCAUCAUUCAGCUGCCGUCAGGAUGUCCUGGGCAGCUGUCACGAAGGGGCAGCUAGUCAUGUUGACUGUCUCCACAUCUACCACUCUCAGGUAUACAAGAAAGGAGAUUCCGACUAAAUAUUAGGAAGGAUUUUCUGACAGUAAGAGCUGCCUGGCAGUAGAAUGGACUCUUUGGAAGGUGACGGACGUUUGUGGUUGGAAGGCCAUACAGCCAUGAUUCCUACAUUUCGGGGUGGACUAGAAGACCCUUUGGGUGCCCUUCCAGUUCUACAAUUCUUCUAGUCUACUGCCUUUGCACACAACAGUUCCACUUUGCUAGCACAGCUGCUGGAAGCCAUUGGUCCUCCAUGAAUCCAUCUAUAAACCUUUUUCAAAUCCUUAUUACCACUAGGCUCUAUUUCCACAUCCUUUCCACCGAGGGAGUGAGAACUGUGAACGGCUACAACACUCAUUGAAGGAUUUAAGGCGUGAAAUCCCCCCCCCCCGCACCUCAUGGCACAGUGAAGGUUUUGAAAGUUAAGUAUUACUGUCGGGCUUUGUUGUUGCCUAACUGCGACAGACAAAUUGAGAACUAGUUGUCAAAAUGUCAGAGCACAACAAAUCAACAUUCAAAAUGAGUCUCUGUGCAAUGUGGUGUAUAAUUAAAAAAAAAUCCUUUUUAGAAAUUUCAGCAAGCGUUGGCUUGGCUUUAUAUUUGUCUGCGUGAUUAAUAAAGGCAGCUAAUUUUCAGACUUUAAAAACAGCUAGAAAAUAGCUCCUAAUUACAUAUUAGGCCCCUAACGUCCCCCGCUGAGCUCGGCUGGUAUUGGUGGGCCACGGAUUUUGGCAGGGGUUUAAUUACAUUCUGAGCUUCAUCUAAUUUUAGUUAAAUGUAAUGUAAUCAGCAGCAGAUGUCUUGAAAUAAAAUAUGAAUUAUGAAUAUGAGGAUAUUUCUUUAAAUAAUUCUUUAAAAAACGAUUUGCUGUUUCGUUCCCUGAAGCAGCACAGCACUCAUUAGGAAACAGGUAUGAGGCUGCAUUGAGAAAAAGGGAGUUUAGGAAAAGAAAGGAACUUUUGCUGGAGCAGCUUUCAAAGGGCAAUCAGAAUACUACGAAAGCAGGACAAAUCAUCGUUUCAGGUGAAGGUAUCAAAUAGAGCUUAAGUGUAUUUGCUCUACAAGGUCAGCUGGAUUUUGAAACUGGAUAUGAGGGUUGGAUUUCCCUUGCUGAAAUGUGAAUGCUGAUGCCUGCACUCCUUGCAACAUCCAUCCAGAGAAUUAUUGACCCUUCCAAAUGGCUUGGGGCGGGGGCUGCAUCCCUCAGGGACCAGCUCCUUCCCUCUGACUCUUCAACACCCCUGGAUUGGCUCUUGCAGAAGACACUUAGAUUAUGGUUUAUAUUGCCCACAUUGAUGUGCUGACCAGCUUGCCCCCUUCCCAGAGCCAGAGGAGGGGUGAUAGGCUGCACAAGGACAUAGUCUCUGAUGGCUUGAGGAAAGCCCUGGAGAGGAGGAGUCUUAGAUGGCUGUGGGGAGGCAGGGACUUUCAGUCUUGGCAAGUGAUUCAUGGGGCCAAACCUCCCGGGGCUAAGCUGCUGUGCUCAUUAGGCCUGACACCAAGUCUGUGGAGAUCCUGCUUUGCUAAUAAACAGUUAACUCCAACUUUGAACAGUGUGAUUUACUGCCAGCUCGCUCUGUGACACCACUACACACACACACAAUUUUGGUGUAGAAGAGGCCGUGAAAGUAAGCCUAUGGAAGAUGCUGUUACUCAGACUCAGUGGCGGAGCUUCAUGCUCUGGCACUGGGAGGCGGAGAGCAGGCAGGGGGCAUGCCACCUGCUGGGGCAUGGGGGGGGGCAGCUGCGAUGGCACCCUACCAGGAUCACGCUGCUGGGGGCGCUCCCCCCACACUCCUCUUCCUCCGCCAGUGCUCAGACUAUAAUGGUGGCUGACCAAUAGGAUUGGUGCUGAGAACCGGGGUAGAGUACUGGAUUGACUGUGCAAUCUAGACUGUGGAUUUAGAUGGCCUUUUCUGCCUUGAAGCUCACCUUUGGUAAAUCAUAGCCCCACUGCCUAGCCUACCUCACAGGCUUGUUGUGAAGAUAAAAUGGAAUAAUCUCCAUGUAUGCUAUCAGAACUGCUCAGAGGAAAGCUGCUCGAUUCCUCUUCCUGCCAAGGUCCUUUUCCUUUGUGCCAUAUCUUUUAGAUUUAUUUAUUUAUUUCCUCAUAUUUAUAUACCACUUGAUUAUAAAAAGUCUCAAAGCAGUUUGCAAAAAUAAUUUUAAAAGAUCCUUAAGGCAGGAAGCAUCAUUUUGUAAGCUACUCAAGGAGUGCCUUUAGACUAAAAGCAGGAUAAAAGUAUUUGAAACAAAGGUGGUGAUGCAUCUCCAUGUUCAUGGUAAACCAUGCAGGUGAAAUAUUGUACAGCUCUUACUCACUUCUGUUUUCAUGGCAUCACAACCAUUGUCAGAGGAGCGUAAGUCCGAAAGAACGCAUGCGUAUCCUGCCAAGCCUGUGAUCUUCCAGGCAGAGGGGGAUUUGAAUUUGGGUUUCCCAGGACCAAAUCCAGCGCUCUGUCUGCUGUCUCACUGGCCCUUUGGGCAGUUGGUUGCCCUCCAGGUGUUAGACUACAACUCCCAUCAUGGCGGACCAAUGACCUAGCUGGCUGAGAACUGGAGCCCAACAAGGCUGCAAGGAAGGCCGUGGCAGCCUAGCCACCCUUGCUUUAGAGAGAGUCAUUUUUUGUGCUUUGUUAUGUCACAAGGAUACCUGCCUCUGGGAAUGUGGGGGAAAUUGCCUUGCAUUUCAGUGUCAAACCUGCUUAAUGUCCACAUUCCAAAACAAGGCACAAAAUGAAUGUUGUGCAAAGGAUGCCUGCUCCUCACUCUCAAUAUACUCUGGACUAUGGACCUUCUGAAUUAUCUCUUCAUCUUGAUACCCAGUAAAGAAAACCCUGUGAAGAAAAUAUAAAGGUGGGAUAAAGUAUUAAGAUUAUUGGUAUGUAUUGAGUUUAAUAAAUAAUUUUAAAAUCAACCCCAAACUGAACUUCAGUUCUUCUUCCAAACCUUUAUGAAUUUUGUGAUACAAUUCUUCAACCAAAAAAAUGCAAAUAUUAUGGGAAAGUGUUGCACACCAAUCAAAUAUAGUGAAUAAAACAUAUAAAAAUAUGUCAUGUAAGGUGCGAUUAGUUGCAAAAUGUGUGGAUUAGGCAAAAGAAAGCUAAUAUGAAAAUACUGAUGGAUUGUUGUGAGGACUUUUUUUAAAACUGAUGCAGAAAUGUGAACCAACCCAGACCCUGUGAUCAUAAUCAGAUCACUUCUCCAUGUGCCUCCUCCACGUGGGGCCCAGAGAGUGGCAACACAAGAAUGGGGCCUUUCCAGUGGUGGCUCCCUGUUUGCGGAAUGCUCUCCCUAGGGAGACUCACCUGGCGCCUCUCAUUACACAUCUUUAGGUGCCAGGCAAAAAACAUUUCUUCUUUUCCAGGCUUUGACUUCUGAUUAUCUGUCGUUUCUUUUAGUAGGUGGGAUGUUUUAAUCCUACCUUUUAAAAAUAUGAAUGUGCUUUAGAUUUUUUCCUCUGUUUCGUUUUACUCUGUUUUUAAUGUGAAUGUUAUCCGAUUGUUAUUGUAAGUCACUUUGAGUUUCCUUUUUUAAAAAGUGACCAAUAAGUUU